AUGCUUGCUUCAACAGCACAUAUGCUAAAAUUGCAAUGAUACGGAGAUCAGCAUGGCCCCUGUGCAAGAGUGACAUGCAUAUUUGUGAUGUGUUCCAUGUUCUU
rnacentral:snRNA from 1 species